rnacentral:snoRNA from 1 species
GUGCCUGUGGGAUGAACAGGUCCCAAUAUUUAUCACCAUUUAGUUCACUUUGUCAGCUUAUAGUCGUGUCUUUUAGUUGAUCAUUGAGAAUGGGAAACAA